ensembl:lncRNA
ACUUAAAACUGUGCUCAAGACUUCUCUUUACCCAGAAACCCCAAGACUUAAAGUCUCAAAGAUCUGGAGGCACCCGCCAGGGGAAGAUGGCCACCCUGUCCACUGGGAGAUGUUGGCUGCAUAAAGGCAUUCCAGAAGGAAGAGGGCCAGAAGGGUUGGAAGGGACUCCUUUGUCGCUGCAAAUGGCAUUAUUUCAUUCUUUUUUAUGGGUGAGUAGUAUUCCAUAGUAUAUAUGUCCCACAUCUUCUCUAUCCAUUGAUUUUUCAAAGGACAUUUAGGUUGUUUCCAUAUCUUGGCUAUUAUAAAUAGGGCUACAGUAAACAUCAAAUUAUAAUUUUCUCUGGAUAUACACCCAGGAAUGGGAUUUCAGAAUCAUAUGGCAGCUCUAUGUUUAGUUUUUUGAGAAAUCUCCAUUUUUUUAAUUCAUAUUUCCAUUUAUUUAAGUUUAUAAGAUUCUUAUUUUUUCCAUUAUAGUUAAUUUGCAGUGUUCUGUUAAUUUCUACUGUAUAGCAAAGUGACCCAGUCAUACAUACACCAAUUUACCUGAAUGCUCUAUUUAAAGGUUGUUCUGUGCACAGCGGAAAUUGGCACAACAUUGUAAAUCAAUCAUACUUUUUUAAAAUGUCUAAAAAAAAUAAAUCUAGAAGUACUUCGAAAAACAAAAAUUAAAAAAUUCCAAUUUAAAAAAACUAAAAAUCCAAAUGGCUUUGGAAUAUAAUACAAUUUAGUAUGUCCAAGUUUCAAUUACCUGAGAUGUGGUCAAUACCAAAGAAAAAACCAUCUGUUGGUCUCUCAUUGUUGACGUGCCUGAGUUAAAUACGCUAUCACCACCACCAUCGCUAAGACACUACUUCACCUUGCCUAGAAACAUCACUCAAAGGGCAAAUUAUGCCUCAAAGAGAUAUAUCAGCCUUUGAUUCCAAGGAUUUUGGAGGAAAUGGACAUGACCUUAGUCACCUCCUCCUCUGAUCUUUGUCCAUCCCUCCUAGUUUGUUCAAAGACAUUUGCUUUCUCAGCUUGAUUUCCAAAGUCAUCAUAAAACAGACAAGCCCUACCUUUUUGCCUAAUUCCACUUCUGCCCCUCACCCUGGUAUUUGACCUUCUAGCACUCCUCAGUGGCACAUAAUGGGCACCCAGAAAUUUGUUGAAUAAAUAAAUGGUUUCUAGUUUCUGUAUUUACCACCCUAAAACAUCCUUGAAUCUGCCAUUCCUAAGCCCUUUCCCUGUGGAAACCUUCCGUGAUUUCAUAGUCACUCUCCCUGCCCAUGCACCUCUACAUGCACCAUGGAAAUUAACUGUGCAUCCAUCCACAGCACCCGUGAUGGGUGCCAUGAGAAAGGAGCUGUGAUUUACACGUGCACAUGUGUCCCCUCCACAAGGGGAGCAUCACAAGGGCUCCAUCUGCCACUGAUGCAUGGCUAAAUCUCCAUAUGCCUGUGCACAGUAGCAGCAAGAGAUCAGUGUUGAGCCGAAGUGCUGUAUCUGCUCUCCUGCAGGAGAGGAACACUCAGAGUCCCCACCCUCCAGCCCUCGCCCUCUCUCCACUCACCCCUCUCUCCUCUGACCCUGCAGCAGCCUGUGCAGGAGCUGCCCUUCAGAGGAGGGGACAUGAGAAAUUAUGACAGUGCUGGAGCACCAGGGCAUAGAGGUAUUCACAGGCUGGGUUUCUUUAUAGACCAGGGGAGUGUGACAGCUCUGCUUCAGUUUCUCCCACUUUCGCCCCAUGGUACGAGGCCACCCAGGUAGCCCUCCAACUCCUGGCUCCUGGCUCCCCACACAACCAGGGACGCUCUGAACAAGCCCCUCUUGUGGUGCUGACCAUUUUGGGCCCUGAGUCUUGGGCACCUGAGGCUUAUGAGGCUGCCAGGUGUUUGCAGAGCCUGAGGUUCAUCUGCAGGGAAGGACAGGGUACAUGUCACCUCACCCAGACAGUCACCAAGUCCCAGCCCUACUCUAUCCGGAAUGGGACUAAGCCCAUAGUAGGUGUUCCAGAAAAUGUGUUGAAUAAAUAGUUGCUUCCAAGGUGUUUUUUUCCUGUUGGGGACUCCAAGUGUCCUGUUCUCACAGGUACCUGCCUACCUCACCUAAGUGUUAGCCUGUCUCUACUUGGCCUGUCAGCGUGAUCCUCUUUAUGUCAUGUCCUCCUCGGGAAGUCAGAAUUGCUGCCAGUUUCCAUAAAGAAAAAACAUGGAGGGUGUCAGUUUCUGAUGCUACCACAGUAGAAAGUGUAUGUGUGCGCCUGUGUGUGUACAUAUAUAACUGAAAGCACUUUAUUGUACAGCAGAAAUUAUCACAACAUUGUAAAUCAACUA